UACGGGGGGGGCAAGCGUUGUUCGGAAUUACUGGGCGUAAAGGGCGCGUAGGCGGCCUGCUAAGUCGGACGUGAAAUCCCUCGGCUCAACCGAGGAACUGCGUCCGAUACUGGUGGGCUUGAAUCCGGGAGAGGGAUGUGGAAUUUCAGGUGUAGCGGUGAAAUGCGUAGAUAUCUGGAGGAACACCGGUGGCGAAGGCGGCAUCCUGGACCGGUAUUGACGCUGAGGCGCGAAAGCUAGGGGAGCAAACGGG
rnacentral:rRNA from 1 species